CUCAGACUCAGUGUCCUCCACAGAAGGUUGCAGACUCUUCCUAUAGUAACAACAUAAACACUCCUCCUUCCAGGUUCUGGUGGUCACUCCUUCACUUGGCCUAAAGACAGGAAUUGCUUGCAUGUUACUUCUGUUUCUUGUGUUUCCACAUUUUGUUGACAAUCUUCUUUUUUUUUAAAUUUUUUUUAGUUGCUCAAAGCAUUACAAUGAUCUUGACAUAUCAUACAUUUGAUUCAAAUGGGAUACGUAAUCUUAUUUUUCCACGUGUACAGGUUGCAGGAUCACAUUGGUUAUACAGACAAUCUUCUUAUUCCUUCUUUUAUUUAUCCAAUUUGUCACCUGUUUCCAGUUGGGACCCAGAUUUAUUAAAUUUGGAAGACAAACCUUUUCACUGUCAAUUCCCUUAGGAAUCUAGGUGUACUUGGCAUUAAUAAGACUUUAAGAGCGAAUUGUCAAGAAAAUAGAGUGAGGGAAUAUGUUCUGACUACAUACCAGGCACUAUGAAAGACCUUUAAAAUACAAAGCUAUGCUUCCAACUCAGAGGCAUCUAUAAAUUAGAAUCUUGAAAGGUGGAGAACUUGGGGAGUUCUUUUCUUUGGGACAUUAAUUCAUCCAUCAACCAUUUAUUGCUCACACAAAACUCCAUGCUAGGUGCUGCAGUUUACAACUGGAAAAGUACCUUACAACUUAUUGCCUCCAUGUUCCAAAAAUCCUCUCCAUUUAACAGACAGAACAAUGGAUAUCAAAGAAGUCAUAUAUUUUAACCAUGUCUAAUGUUUAAAAAGUAUUAAUUGAACUUAGGUAUUCUGACUCCAAGUUUUAUAGAUUUCCACUGUAUUGCAUGUGCAUGAAAAAAAUUUCCUCCUUUUGUCUCCUUAUGAAAAGCAGAACACAUUUAAUAUUCAAAUUAGUGUGAACAAGUACCAAGGCAGAAGUGGGGAUAAAAAGUGUUCACCUUCAGAGAAUGUAGAGAGCACUUCUGGUGAGGCAAUUAGAACAGGCUUCUUGGAAAAGGCACUGGAAGUCUAGUUUAGCCAAAGUAGGCACAUGGAAUGCUAGGGGUGCUCAGAUCACAGAACACCAUGGAAUGCUAAACUAGGGAGUCAGUAUUUUUUUAAAAAAGUGUUUGAUCAAGAUGUAGCAUCAGUCUAGAUAAGGAAGAGAGAUGGAAGGGAAAGAGAGG
rnacentral:lncRNA from 1 species